AGAAAAAAAAUCGAAGCGUCGCUCUUUGUGAAAAAUAUUUAAUAUAUUUCGUUUUGGGCGAUUGCCUCGGAAUUGAGCCGUCUUUCAUAUGUUUAUUCAUGUCAAAGUGGCUUAAAAUUCAUCAAUCUGGUACGAUUUAAAGCGUAUUUAAGAUCAUCAUUGAUUAAGAACGCGCGAUGACGUAUCAUCUCAUGUAGUACGUUCGACCUGCUUUGUCAGGCUCAUUCGUAUACGACACUCAAC
rnacentral:misc_RNA from 1 species